rnacentral:rRNA from 1 species
AACGAACGCUGGCGGCAUGCCUAACACAUGCAAGUCGAACGAGACCUUCGGGUCUAGUGGCGCACGGGUGCGUAACGCGUGGGAACCUGCCCUUAGGUUCGGAAUAACUCCCCGAAAGGGGUGCUAAUACCGGAUAAUGUCUUCGGACCAAGGAUUUAUCGCCUUUGGAUGGGCCCGCGUUGGAUUAGCUAGUUGGUAGGGUAAAAGCCUACCAAGGCGACGAUCCAUAGCUGGUCUGAGAGGAUGAUCAGCCACACUGGGACUGAGACCCGGCCCAGACUCCUACGGGAGGCAGCAGUGGGGAAUAUUGGACAAUGGGCGAAAGCCUGAUCCAGCAAUGCCGCGUGAGUGAUGAAGGCCUUAGGGUUGUAAAGCUCUUUUACCCGGGAUGAUAAUGACAGUACCGGGAGAAUAAGCUCCGGCUAACUCCGUG